CCUACGGGUGGCUGCAGUGGGGAAUAUUGCACAAUGGGGGAAACCCUGAUGCAGCGACGCCGCGUGAGUGAAGAAGUAACUCGUUACGUAAAGCUCUAUCAGCAGGGAAGAAAAUGACGGUACCUGAGGAAGAAGCCCCGGCUAACUACGUGCCAGCAGCCGCGGUAAUACGUAGGGGGCAAGCGUUAUCCGGAUUUACUGGGUGUAAAGGGGGCGUAGACGGUGCGCCAAGUCUGGAGUGAAAUGCCGCCGCUUAACUGGGAAACUGCAUUGGAAACUGCUGAACUAGAGUGCAGGAGGGGUAGGCGGAAUUCCUAGUGUAGCGGUGAAAUGCGUAGAUAUUAGGAGGAACACCAGUGGCGAAGGCGGCUUACUGGACCGUAACUGACGUUGAGGCUCGAAAGCGUGGGGAGCAAACAGGAUUAGAUACCCGUGUAGUC
rnacentral:rRNA from 1 species